GUCUUCGUGGUGUAGUGGUCAGCACGCUCGGCGCGUAUUCGAGAGUUUCGUAGUUCGAAUCCUGACGAGGGCA
rnacentral:tRNA from 1 species